rnacentral:rRNA from 1 species
AUGGCUCAGGAUAACGCUGGCGGCGUGCCUAAUACAUGCAAGUCGAAUGGUAGUAGCAAUACAAACCAUGGCGAACGGGUGAGUAACACGUAGGCAACCUGACUUUAAGACGAGGAUAACCGUUGGAAACGACGGAUAAUACUGGAUAGGACAUCAGAAAGGGCAUCCUUAGAUGUUUAAAGGUUAUUAUGCCACUUAGAGAGGGGCCUGCGGCGCAUUAGCUAGUUGGUGAGAUAACAGCCCACCAAGGCGAUGAUGCGUAGCCGGACUGAGAGGUUGAACGGCCACAAUGGAACUGAGAACGGUCCAUACUCCUACGGGAGGCAGCAGUAGGGAAUUUUCGGCAAUGGGCGCAAGCCUGACCGAGCAACGCCGCGUGAACGAAGAAGUUAUUCGUAAUGUAAAGUUCUUUUAUCUGGGAAGAAAAAACAAAUUGACGGUACCAGAUGAAUAAGCUCCGGCUAACUACGUGCCAGCCGCCGC